ACACAAAAGAAGUAGAUGAACUACUGCUGAUAAGGUGUUACAGGUGUGCAUUCCUUCUUUUUCUUUUUUAGUGAUUGCUUCGCCAUCCUAUCCAUACCUUUCUCCUCCUAUUCCUGCUGCUGCUGCUGCCACUGCCACCACUGCUGCUCCUUUACCACCUCCACCUCUUGAGGUGGGAGAGGCUUCAAACUUCCCACCACCACCACUUCCACCUCCACCUUAUUCCUGUGAUCCAAGUGGCAGUGAUCUGCCUCAAGAUACAAAAGUUUUGCAGUACUAUUUCAAUCUGGGAUUGCAGUGCUAUCACCACAACUACUGGCACUCCGUGGUCUAUGUGCCACAGAUGCAGCAGCAGCAACAGCAGCUUCAUGUAGAGAAUUAUCCAGUCUAUGCUGAGCCACCCCCUCUGGUAGAUCAAAGUAUUCCUCAGUGGUAUAGUGAGGUGGGGAGACAAGAUGGUACACAGGUGGAAGCAUCAGGAAAUGGUGAGUAUGUAAUGGGAUUGCCUGCAAGAAGGACAGUUAGAUUUGAUUGUGUGUAAUGUAUUUAAAGUUUUUUUUUAAUGUUUGAUUUAAAGAG